GGGCCGGUAGAACAGAUGGUAGGUUCGCUGGCUUCGCAAGCCAGAGGUCGGGGGUUCAAGUCCCCCCCGGUCCACCA
rnacentral:tRNA from 2 species